AGAGUUUGAUCCUGGCUCAGAACGAACGCUGGCGGCAGGCUUAACACAUGCAAGUCGAACGCGUGUAGCAAUACACGAGUGGCGCACGGGUGAGUAACGCGUGGAUAUCUGCCUUUUGGUUCGGAAUAACUCCGGGAAACUGGAGCUAAUACCGGAUGGUUCCUACGGGAUAAAGAUUUAUCGCCAAAAGAUGAGUCCGCGUACGAUUAGCUAGUUGGUGAGGUAAUGGCUCACCAGGGCGACGAUCGUUAGCUGGUCUGAGAGGACGAUCAGCCACACUGAAACUGAGACACGGUCCAGACUCCUACGGGAGGCAGCAGUGGGGAAUUUUGGACAAUGGGCGCAAGCCUGAUCCAGCAAUGCCGCGUGCAGGAUGAAGGCCUUCGGGUUGUAAACUGCUUUUGUACGGAACGAAACGGCUCUUUCUAAUAAAGAGGGCUAAUGACGGUACCGUAAGAAUAAGCACCGGCUAACUACGUGCCAGCAGCCGCGGUAAUACGUAGGGUGCGAGCGUUAAUCGGAAUUACUGGGCGUAAAGCGUGCGCAGGCGGUGAUGUAAGACAGAUGUGAAAUCCCCGGGCUCAACCUGGGACCUGCAUUUGUGACUGCAUCGCUAGAGUACGGUAGAGGGGGAUGGAAUUCCGCGUGUAGCAGUGAAAUGCGUAGAUAUGCGGAGGAACACCGAUGGCGAAGGCAAUCCCCUGGACCUGUACUGACGCUCAUGCACGAAAGCGUGGGGAGCAAACAGGAUUAGAUACCCUGGUAGUCC
rnacentral:rRNA from 1 species